GUCCACGCCGUAAACGAUAAUCACUAGAUGUUAGUCCGGCUUAGCUGGAUUAGUGUCGUAGCUAACGCGUUAAGUGAUUCGCCUGGGGAGUACGGUCGCAAGGCUAAAACUUAAAAGAAUUGACGGGGGUCCGCACAAGCGGUGGAACAUGUGGUUUAAUUCGACACUACGCGAGAAACCUUACCUGGACUUGACAUGUACUCGACAUCUGUAGAAAUACAGCCUUUUGGGUUUCGAUCUAAACGGGUACACAGGUGCUGCAUGGCUGUCGU
rnacentral:rRNA from 1 species